AUGGGUUUCAUUACUAAUCUACCUAAGAGUAAUGGUUUUGAAGCCAUUUUUGUGGUUGUUGACCGUCUUUCCAGAUAUAGUCAUUUCGUUCCGCUUAAACACCCAUUUACUGCACGUUCCAUAGCUUCCAUCUUUGUGAAAGAGGUCACCAACCGAAGUCGCAGGCUCACUGGAUUCCGUGGGCCGAGUUGUGGUACAACACCACGUUCCACAUAUCUACAGGUUUUACACCUUUCAAGGUGGUGUAUGGCCGGAAGUCUCCACAGUUGGUACACUUUUUGGAAGGGGAGACUAGAGUUGAAGCAGUGGCUCAAAAACUCAGAGAUCGAGAUGAAGCUUUGCGACAACUGA